UACGUAGGGGGCAAGCGUUGUCCGGAUUUACUGGGCGUAAAGAGCGCGUAGGCGGACGCUUAAGUGUGGCCUGAAAGCCCCCGGCUCAACCGGGGAGGGUGGCUGCAAACUGGGCGUCUUGAGGGCGAUAGAGGAGAGCGGAAUUCCUGGUGUAGCGGUGAAAUGCGUAGAUAUCAGGAAGAACACCCGUGGCGAAGGCGACUUCCUGGCCUGUUCUUGACGCUGAGGCGCGAAAGCUAGGGUAGCAAACGGG
rnacentral:rRNA from 1 species